UACGGGGGGUGCGAGCGUUGUCCGGAAUCACUGGGCGUAAAGGGCGCGUAGGUGGCCUGAUAAGGGUGUGGUGAAAGUCCGGGGCUCAACCCCGGAUCUGCCGUGCCGACUGUUGGGCUGGAGUACUGUAGGGGCAGGCGGAAUUCCGGGUGUAGCGGUGGAAUGCGUAGAGAUCCGGAAGAACACCGGUGGCGAAGGCGGUCUGCUGGGGUAAUGCUGACACUGAUGCGCGACAGCGUGGGGAGCAAACAGG
rnacentral:rRNA from 1 species